rnacentral:rRNA from 1 species
ACUCAAAUGAAUUGACGGGGGCCCGCACAAGCGGUGGAACAUGUGGUUUAAUUCGAUGCAACGCGAAGAACCUUACCUGGGCUUGACAUCUAGAGAACCCUGUGGAAACACGGGGGUGCCUUCGGGAACUCUAAGACAGGUGGUGCACGGUUGUCGUCAGCUCGUGUCGUGAGAUGUUGGGUUAAGUCCCGCAACGAGCGCAACCCUCGUUGUCUGUUGCUACAGGCUGCAAAGUGCUGAGCACUCAGGCGAGACUGCCGGUGAUAAACCGGAGGAAGGUGGGGAUGACGUCAAAUCAUCAUGCCCCUUAUGUCCAGGGCUACACACGUGUUACAAUGGGAUAGGACAACGGGCAGCCUGCCAGCAAUGGUUAGCUAAUCCCUUAAACCUACCCUCAGUUCGGAUUGGAGUCUGCAACUCGACUCCAUGAAGUCGGAAUCGCUAGUAAACGCGGAUCAGCCAUGCCGCGUUGAAUACGUUCCCGGGCCUUGUACACACCGCCCGU